UCCUCUUCGCUCUCACUCUCACUCUCACUCUCACUUUCCUCUGUACCAGACUCCGACUCCGAAUAUUCGGACUCUUCACUGUCGGAACCUGAAUCUGAAUCGUAGCUUCUACUGCGUCGCUUUCGUGAUCUUCGUUUUCGCUCAACGCCUCUGCUGCUUUUCCUAUCUUCUUCUUCUGCAGAAUCGGAAUCAAAAUCGGAGCGUUUAUCUAACUGCUUUUCCCUUUUUUGUUUGCUGAGGUUUCUAUGUUGCGAAUCGGAAUCGGUGCCAAUAUCUUCUCGAGCUUUUCCUUUGGAUUUUUUGUCGUCCUUAUCAGGUAGAGAACCGUUUCGAUCUUUGGCCAUUUUUCAGCUUCUGGGUUUGGCUGUGAGAUGAUCACGAUCUGCAGAGAGAGGGAGACACAGCUUAUGAGUAGUUGGUGUUCUGGGAGCUCGUCUGUUUGGAUGCAGGGAAAGAUGUGGAAAGCUAUCUUGACUGUAGAAAUGGGCCGGACAUAACAUAUGGCCUUCCCAAAUGCUUAGUCCAAUAAGAGAAAUUGUAAUUUAAUAUCAAGAAAAAGAUAAAUUUUAAGUCAGAUCACCGUUCCGAAGUCCAGUCGGCUUUGAGGUUU
rnacentral:misc_RNA from 1 species